CAGAAUCAUCGAUAUUGAGCCAUGUGCAAGCGUUGACUGGGGUUUCUUAUACUACAAAUAAACUUGGAUAGUUUUGAUUUAGAAUUGAUCAGAAACAAGAUAAAUGAGUUUUACACUGUUUCUUUCUCUCAAAUAGGGAUCGAUGAAUAGCGAAAAUCUUGUGAACAUGUAAUAAAAAUUGAAAAUCAGUUCAUAGAACAAAAUCGGUUAAUUGAGAUGCAGGAGGAAAGGUUUAUUAUAAAUACUACGUUGAAGACUUUUUUUAUGGAUGUGCAGUAUUUGGAACCAUUUUCAAGUUCUUAAUUAAUUAAUAAACUCAUGAACAGAG